rnacentral:rRNA from 1 species
GUAAACGGCGGCCGUAACUAUAACGGUCCUAAGGUAGCGAAAUUCCUUGUCGGGUAAGUUCCGACCUGCACGAAUGGCGUAAUGAUGGCCAGGCUGUCUCCACCCGAGACUCAGUGAAAUUGAACUCGCUGUGAAGAUGCAGUGUACCCGCGGCAAGACGGAAAGACCCCGUGAACCUUUACUAUAGCUUGACACUGAACAUUGAGCCUUGAUGUGUAGGAUAGGUGGGAGGCUUUGAAGCGUGGACGCCAGUCUGCGUGGAGCCAACCUUGAAAUACCACCCUUUAAUGUUUGAUGUUCUAACGUUGGCCCCUUACCGGGGUUGCGGACAGUGUCUGGUGGGUAGUUUGACUGGGGCGGUCUCCUCCCAAAGCGUAACGGAGGAGCACGAAGGUUAGCUAAUCCUGGUCGGACAUCAGGAGGUUAGUGCAAUGGCAUAAGCUAGCUUGACUGCGAGCGUGACGGCGCGAGCAGGUGCGAAAGCAGGUCAUAGUGAUCCGGUGGUUCUGAAUGGAAGGGCCAUCGCUCAACGGAUAAAAGGUACUCCGGGGAUAACAGGCUGAUACCGCCCAAGAGUUCAUAUCGACGGCGGUGUUUGGCACCUCGAUGUCGGCUCAUCACAUCCUGGGGCUGAAGUAGGUCCCAAGGGUAUGGCUGUUCGCCAUUUAAAGUGGUACGCGAGCUGGGUUUAGAACGUCGUGAGACAGUUCGGUCCCUAUCUGCCGUGGGCGCUGGAGAAUUGAGGGGGGCUGCUCCUAGUACGAGAGGACCGGAGUGGACGCAUCACUGGUGUUCGGGUUGUCAUGCCAAUGGCACUGCCCGGUAGCUAAAUGCGGAAGAGAUAAGUGCUGAAAGCAUCUAAGCACGAAACUUGCCCCGAGAUGAGUUCUCCCUGAGACUUUAAGUCUCCUGAAGGAACGUUAAAGACGAUGACGUUGAUAGGCCGGGUGUGUAAGCGCAGCGAUGCGUUGAGCUAACCGGUACUAAUGAACCGUGAGGCUUAACCUU